AAUCAACGCUGGCGGCGUGCCUCAGACAUGCAAGUCGAACGCGAAAGUCCCCUUCGGGGGAUGAUUAGAGUGGCGCACGGGUGAGUAACACGUAGGUAAUCUACCUUCGAGUGGGGAAUAACUCAGGGAAACUUGAGCUAAUACCGCAUAAUGCAGCGGCACCACAUGGUGACAGUUGUUAAAGCAUUUAUGCGCUUGAAGAGGAGCCUGCGGCGGAUAGCUAGUUGGUAAGGUAAUGGCUUACCAAGGCUACGAUCUGUAACCGGCCUGAGAGGGCGGACGGUCACACUGACACUGAAUAACGGGUCAGACUCCUACGGGAGGCAGC
rnacentral:rRNA from 1 species